GCCUGGGUGGCUCAGUCGGUUGGGCGUCUGACUUCGGCUCAGGUCAUGAUCUUGCAGUUGGUGGUGGGUUUGAGCCCCGCGUCAGGCU
rnacentral:tRNA from 1 species